UAUUAUUUAUAUUCCAAUAAAUAUAAUUAAAGUGUUAGAUUUCAAAUAUUAAGGUUAAUAAAUAGUAGUUUGUAUACCGGCUUCAAAGAGAACAUAUUAUGAUGCCGGUCUUAAUCCCAAUCGUUCAGCAUAUGCCUCAGGAUCACAUAAUGGAAAUAGAAAAUGUAUAGUACAAUUCUAACUUCAUUUAAUGAAAUUGAGAGAAUCAUCCCGUUUGAUUCAAUGGUCAGUUUGGAAUAAAUCUAGAAAAUCCACUUCAUCGCGCAUUUUCAGAUUAUUGGGAAAAUGGCGGUGCCAGUAAAAGUCCAUUUUAACAAAAACGUUGGAGAAUUGCUUUCGCAAAACUAACCUUAACGAAUCCUAAUACGCAAAUUUGGCUAAUCAAUUCCAUUUAAUGUAUAAGUAGUUUUCAAGAUAACAUACUAAAGCAAAUUUUAUAUCUCAAUAUUGACAAACACUAACAAAUCGGAUUUUGGCUAAACGUGAGUAUUAAAUUGUUUUUUUUUUUAAUUUAUUUUGUUUUGAAGAUUACACAAGUUAUUUGUAUGGAAGAAAAUCGUUACUAUAUACCAGAUACUUAUAUUUUGGCGGUUCUUAAGACGGAUUUAUAAUUACAAAAUUAAUAAUUCUUCUUGAUACCUACAUAUACUAUUUUUAUUGUUUCUUUAAAAAUGUAUGUUAUAACUGAUUUUUUGUAACUUUUGUUUUCAUAUAAUGAUUUUAAAAUAUUUCUCGCUUUUUCUGGACAUUUCUUUGUUGCUAAUUCUCCACUGUCUCCAAUAUAAUUAUCUCAAUAAUUGUUAUUCUAAAUAGAUGAUAAUUGCAUAAUAAGCCAUAUUAAGCAAACAAUAAUCUUUUGAAUUACUCCAUUCAGAUAUACAAUUGGUUGUCAAUAUCUAUAGAGUAUACAUUUAUAGAUAUUCAUUCAAAAUCAAUCGACGUUUUUUCACUAAGUAAUUACGCACCAAUUAAUGACUGUAAUUUUUUGGUGAUGUAAGUGCAUGCAAAUAUACUUUUUUAUAAACAAAAUUAAUUUAAUUGCAGUAAACUGUUGUAUUGGUUUAAAGCAGACGCUCAAUAGAAUAACAACCACGCGCAAAUCCAAUUCAUUAUAGAGGCCCCAUAUAGUAAUAGGCAUAUAUGUAUAUGUAUUUUAUUAUGUGCGUGGAAUGACCUAGUACCCGUCCAUACCGUUAUUCACGCUUUUUUGUUAUGCUAAAUAGUUUCAUAUACAGUUAAGUGUGAUUGUUGUGAAAUAAGCAUUUCUUCAAAAUAACAUUCUCAGAUCUAUUUCAUAUUCUCUUCAGGUUUUGUCUUUCUAUGCACGAUUACGGAAUAUAGAUCUUAAUUUUGUUGAUUUAUUUUAUAAUUUGUUUGUUAUAUACCUCAUAUGUAUGCACUAUAAGCCUUCUAAUGCCUUCUGAUCUAUAUUCAUACCAGAUAAAAUGUAAAUAUGCACUGAUUUGCAAUUACUCAGAGCUGAACUUUUGCAUACUACUUUUAAUAUUGUUUAUUUUUAUGCACAAUUUACGCCUUCUAAAAAUUCCGAGUGCGUAGAUAAAUGCAUAUGUAUGUAAAAAUAAUUUACUCACUCUUUAGAUUUCAAUUAUAUGUGAAUCUGCUUUAGUUAUGUACAUUCUUGAUAACCCUUUCCCUAAGUUAGUCAUCCCAGCCUAGCGUUGGUGCGGGUCUCUAGAACGUACAUAUCCAAACAGGUUUUGAUCGCCGAACUAACAGCCUUUGGUCGGAUACAGUUCGGGUCUAUUCCGAUAUCGCAGAACCGGCUGUUGUGCGGGUCCCUCUUCAAUAUCACCUAUGUAUGAGUUCGUAGGAAGACUCCAAUUGUCAAAAAAAUACGGUUCUUGCUUCGGUAAAAAUUAGCUUCU